GUACAAACAGGCUUUAUGUACGCUUUUGUGCUUUGGCUCGACAUCUUGUACUUCUGAUGCUGGCGUGACAAGAACAUUCUCUGAGUGAUCACUGGUCCUCGUUAGAGAGACCUGGAGACCCACAGACUGAAGCAGGGCUGCUCCAGCCAACUUGCAGAACUGUACAGGAGAGAAGUGUCACUGCGAGCCGCUAAGACUCAAAGACGACUUGUUACACAGCACUAUUACUACAGCAGGAGGUUUGGAAGGCGGCCAGGGAAGAGUUUUAUUUAUGACAGUUGUGGGGAGACUUGGAUGCCACGUACGACAGAAGUCUAUGCUUCUUUGCUUUUCACUGAAGUCUGCAUAUCACUUUGCAGCUGGCGCAGUCACCUGCAGAGGUGCUCAGUUAUAAACCAAGCUGAACGGAAGAGCUUCGGCUGAAGAGCGGCCGUCUCCUGACAUACACCCCGCACCCCACCUCCCGUCCUGCACGCUCCUGGACAGCCUUUCUCAACAGUCCCUGCCUGAGCUGCUCCGGUGGCCGUGGCCGGAAGCCUAGACGGUGGUACGCUUCUUCCUCUGCUUCUUCACUUGUCCAGCUAGAGAGUGGCUACUGUCCUUGCUGGGGUCUGUGAGGGUUUAAUUGACUUACUCACCCUCUUCUCCGCCUCCCCCAGUGAGGGACAGGUAUGUUCUUUUUCUUACCUAAGUUGGUUCCCUGAAUGGCGGUUGGGGAGGGGUCUCUUAACACCAGGUGGGGCAUGCUGAAAGCUGGGCUUCCUGUGGGGGUGGGUGGGUGGUGCCCAGGUGCCCUGAAUCCCUGUUGGAGGUAGGCAAUUCUGGGGCACAAUCCCUCUGUCCUGAGGGCCCAGUGGUCUGCAGGGCAGAUGUUUCAUAACCAUCGCACGCCCAGUCCCCUUCUUGUUCCAGCCACCCACCCUCUCAAAGGCCAGGGGCUCCCCUGCUCCUCUGAAUCCUGUCUCCUUCA
rnacentral:lncRNA from 1 species